GGGUUCACAAACACAUGGAGACUCCCAGAGGGUGGUGCCCAGGGAGGGUAUGGAAGCUCUGCACCCCUACCCCUACGUUGCCCUAUACAGCUCUUCAUCUGCAUCCUUUGCAGUAUCCUUUAUAAUAAAUUGGUAAAUGAAGCCGCCAGUAGGAAAUCUUGACCAAGGAAAAGAGAAUUUCUUUCAGGCUUCCUGCACUGUCUCAAAAGAGCCUGGUUGAAAGCCCCAGUGGAGAUGCCUGUAAUUGGCCAACGAGGGCCAGCAGCCGGGCCGGGGCUGCGUGCCAAUAAAUAACUCAAGCAGUCUAAACUCUCGGGGUUUUAUAAUUAUGUGAGAAGACCUAAGAUUUCUGUAAGGCAGGGGUCAGCAAAUUAAAAUUCUCCCAGGAGC